GGUUGCAAGUUCAAACCCCCGAGCUGACACGGUACAAAUCUGUCGUUCUGCCCCUGAACAGUCAGUUAAGAACAAAUUCUUAUUUUCAAUGAUGGCCUAGGAACAGUGGGUUAACUGCCUGUUCAGGGGCAGAACGACAGAUUUGUACCGUGUCAGCUCGGGGGUUUGAACUUGCAACCUUCCGGUUACUAGUCCAACACUAACCACUAGGCUACCCUGCCGCCCCAAACCACCAUGAAACCACCAUGAAAAAGAUCAACAGAAUUUAUGUUUUAAUAGUUGAUAUAAUACAAUCAUUAUUCAGUAAACUCUUCAAGCAUUGUGUGUGUCUGUCUUAGAAGACUAACAGUCAAAUUCUUGCUUCCUCUGUCCUUGUUUUCUCCACUCCUUGCCUCUUCUUGAACGUGCAUUGUUGCCCGAGGGGAGGAACUUUGACUCCUCUCCCCAAUGUGCUUUGAGAAGGCGAGGAAUGGGGAAAACCCAUUGGAUAAGGUGAGAAAGUAUAUAGGAAAGAAAGAGAUGAGGAAAGCAGAUGUAACUAAUCAAGAAAUGCAAGGACAGGGGAAGCAGGUACUUGACUGCUAUUAAAGCCCCCAUGCAGUUGUAAUUUUAUUUUUAAAUCAUCACUGUAUGUCUAAUAAAUCACUGUUUAUUUAAUGAAAAUAACUAAUUUGUAAUAAUUUAUUUCCCUGAGCCUCCUUUGGCCCUUCAAAUGCUCAGUCUGAUCGUGUGGGCGUUGGGAAACGAAUGAAGAUAUUUACAUACACAGCCCCGAUUGGCUGAUAGGAUGGUCUAGAGCCCACCCCAUUAGCCAGGCAGUAUUACUCCGGCUCUAUCACUUGACUGUCAUUCAGAAAAUCCUUUCCAAAAUCGAAAAUUUCCCCCCAUAACUAAACAACCGGAGAUCAUAUGCGCCUCAAACAACUAUUAUGCAGAGUUAUUGAAGAACCCGGUUAAUGACCGUAUCGAUUUGUCUUGGUUCAUCAUGUUAAAGUUAUGCUUUGUGUUAGAAGUAUUCGAUUUUCAAUCCAUACAUUAUUUGGGAUAUGUGUGCACACCAUAACAUAGGGAGCAUCCCAAACAUGCUCAAUGGGUGACAUGUCUGGUGGUUAUGCAGGCCAUGGAAGAACUGGGACAUUUUCAGCUUCCAGGAAUUGUGUACAGAUCCUUUAGACCAGUGGUCACCAAACUACGGCCCGCGGGCCGGAUACGGCCCGUCAGCACAUUUGGCCCGGCCCUCUGAACAAUACCAGAGACGCUAUCAAUUUUUUUUCCUAUUUGGCCUCCAGAAAAAAAAUCCUAGGCCCGGCCCUGUCAAAGAGAGAACGGAAUAAUGGCGAAAAGGUUAGGUAAGAGAAAAAUUGAUUCAGAAUGCAGGGUAUUUAACCUGUAGUGGACAAACAAUUUUUUUUUUUGUUCAAUGCAAAGAAAAGGCUGUUUGUCUCAUCUGUCAAGAGACGGUGGCGGUAUUCAAAGAAUACAAUCUUCGCCGACACUAUGAAUCCCGUCACAAAGACAAGUACGAUAGCUUGCAAGGCCAAAUACGAGCAGACAAACUCUCAAAGCUAAAAAGUGGACUACUAUCUCAGCAGAAUACAUUUGUACGCCAAGCUCAGCUGAACCAGGCAUCCGUUCGGGCCAGCUUUCGGGUUGCUAAACUGAUAGCAAGAAGCGGUAAGCCUUUCACUGACGGAGAGUUUGUUAAGAAAUGUAUGGAUGCUGUCGCGGAGGAGGUGUGUCCCGAGAAGAAAGAUGCAUUUAAUGCCGUAAGUCUGUCGGCGAGUACAAUCACCAGACGCGUUGAAGAAAUCGGGAGUAAUGUAUAUGCCCAGCUGCAGCAGAAGACGAAAGAAUUUGACUUUUUUUCAUUAGCACUGGAUGAGAGCACGGACGUGCAAGACACAGCGCAACUGCUCAUUUUUAUUCGUGGAGUUAGCGCAAACUUUGAGAUAUGCGAGGAGCUGGCAGCCCUCCAAAGUCUCAAAGGGACUACAACGGGAGAGGAUAUUUUUGACAAAGUGUGCCAAACCAUGGAGAAGUUGGACCUGGACUGGUCAAAGCUAGCUAGCAUCACGACUGACGGGGCUCCUAGCAUGGUGGGCGAAACUCGCGGUCUAAUAGGACGCAUGAACCGGGAGUUGGAAAAAAGGGGUCUCACCGCCCCGCUACGAGUCCACUGCCUAAUUCACCAGCAAGCACUGUGCUGCAAAGUGUUGAAGUGGGAUUCUGUAAUGAAGGUUGUGGUGUCGUGCAAAACUUCAUCAGAGCAAAGGGACUUAAACACAGGCAGUUCCAAGAAUUCCUGUCUGAACUGGAGUCUACGCACGGAGAUGUGCUGUACUACACAGAGGUCCGAUGGCUGAGCCGGGGCAGAGUUUUGAGGCGUUUUUACGAGCUGCUACCCGAAAUUAACGCAUUUCUUCAUUUAAAAGACAAAACGGUCCCAGAGCUGAUCGACCCAGAAUGGAAAUGGCACCUCGCAUUUUUAACAGACGUGACAGAAAUACUUAACAGCCUUAACUUGCAGCUACAAGGCGAGGGGAAACUCAUUUGCGACAUGUAUUCACACAUAAAAGCAUUUGAGGUGAAAUUAGCGCUGCUUUUGGAACAAGUGAAAAAGCGCAACUUCGUCCAUCUUCCUGCUACCCAAAACCUGUCGACAGAGAACCCAGCGGUCCCGUUCCCAGCUGAAAAGUGCGUGGAAGCACUGGAAAUGCUGAAGGCGGAGUUCGGUGUGCGAUUCAGUGAACUACAUGUUCAUGCAAAAGAAAUCCGUCUUUUUCAGAACCCCUUUGUUGCCGACAUUGAUGAAGCCCAGCCUUCAUAUCAGUUUGAGUUGGCUGAGUUACAGAACUGUGAUGUUCUGAAAGACUCAUUCAAGCCCAACAGUCUCAUUGACUUCUAUGCCGCCCUCCCAAACGACACAUAUCCAAACAUCAAAAAACACGCAAUGAAAAUGUCCACAGUUUUUGGCAGCACGUAUAUCUGCGAGAAAACCUUUUCUCGCAUGAAACUGCUGAAAACCCCGAUGAGAUCAAGAUUGACAGAUGAACAUUUGCAUCAGUGCUUGAGACUGGCUGUAACUAGAAUGGAACCUGAUAUUCAACUUCUCACCAGCCAGAUGCAGGCCCACAGUUCACACUGAUGAACAUACAUAGGGAAGUUGAUGAGAGAGAGCUGCAAACAGCGGUGUCUACAAGCCUACUGGAACCUACAAAAGGAUUAUAAGGAAGGAACACAAGAACUUUAAGAGACUGCUCAUAUGUGUCAGAGAGAUUCUGCUCUGACAACUGAGCUGAACUUUUAUCUGUUAAGAUUGUGCAUGGCACGACAGAAAGUUAAUGUUCCAUGGCUUUUUUUUCUAUGAAGAACCCAGAGAGAGUUAUUUAGUUAUUAUUUAUUUCCUGUUUUUUCUGUGAAGAACUCAGAGAGGGUUAUUUAGUUAUUAUUUAUUUCAUUAAUAGUGUUAUUAUUUGUUUCCUGACUUUUUUUCUGUAAAGAACCUGGAAAGGGUUAUUUGGUUAUGUGUGGCUUUCUGGAAAACAAUACAUUUUUUAAGCUCCCCUACGAUCGUCACACUUUUUCUGUUACAAACUGACACCGGCCCCCCAUCAGAGAAGGGAAAAGUUAUGUGGCCCUCACAGGAAAAAGUUUGGGGACCCCUGCUUUAGACAUUGAGCCGUGCAUUAUCAUGCUGAAACAUGAGGUGAUGGUGGUGAAUGAAUGGCAUGACAAUGGGCCUCAGGAUCUUGUCACGGUAUCUCUGUGCCUUCAAAUUGCAAUCGAUAAAAUGCAAUUGUGUUCAUUGUCCGUAGCUUAUGCCUGCCCAAUACCAUAACCCCAACCCACCAUGGGACACUCUGACAACAUUGACAUCAGCAAACCACCCGCCCACACGACAACAUACACGUCGUCUGCGGUUGGACGUACUGCCAAAUUCUCUAAAACAACGUUGGAGGUGGCUUAUGGUAGAGAUAUGAACAUUCAAUACUUUGGCAACAGCUCUGGUAAACAUUCCUGCAUUCAGCAUGCCAAUUGCACGCUCCCUCAACUUGAGACAUCUGUGGCAUUGUGUUGUGAGACAACUGCACAUUUUAGUGGCCUUUUAUUGUCCCCAGCACAAGGCACACCUGUGUAAUGAUAAUUCUGUUUAAUCAGCUUCUUGAUAAUCCAUCUACCUUACUGGUGUGGCCUACCUUGGCAAUGAGAAAUGCUCACUAACAGGGAUGUAAUUUUUGCACAAUAUUUGAGUUAUUUUAAAAUGUUUUAUUUCAGCUCAUGAAACAUGGGACCAAACUUUACAUGUUGCAUUUAUAUUUUUGUUCAGUGUUCAGUAUCUUUAAUGUAUUCAUGUGAAGAAGAAAUAAAGUAAAUUAUUAUGAAUGACUUUGUAACAGCUCCAAACAGUUGUCCACUACAAGAAAUGCUCACUGGUACCUGCAUUUAUAGAAAGACUCAAAUAUGAAAUGCAUAGGCAUGGUAGCAAUUAAAAGGAAACAGUUUGGAGAUUAUGGGUAAAUUAUUAGACCAAAAUUGAGGACACAACAAUUCACCUGAAACCAGACUAAAUCCAAACAUCACAUUUUUUAUUUUAUUUGCAUUCUACAUUUACUGUACUUUUUGCCACUUUUGUUAAUGAAAUCUGAAAAUACUCUGGAUACAUUCAGUAACAUAAGAAUAUUCCUGGAAAAUGUGGGGUAGGUGCAACAGACAAAACAAUGACGGGUUUGAGUGAGAGGAUAAACACCUCUCAAGUGUGCACAGCUCUUAAGUCAUUUAAAUGCACUUUUAACUCGAAGGGUCUUCAACUAUAGGGUGCUUCUUUUUUAUUUAUUUUUUUAGCUCUCCUUGCUCUGCUGUUGAGGAACUAAAGCAAGCACACUUGUAGUUUUGUUUGGAACACAACCCUGAAUCCCCGCCAUCACACAAUUAUUGUUUACACAAUCCAAAAACAUCCUGUUAAAAAUCACAAUCUGGGUCAGGUGGGCAACAUUUGAAAGCUUGUUCAUUUGCGAACAUGACUAGCUAAGUUAUAAAAUACGAUCUUAGUGUUAGGCUUUCACAGGGCAAUUCAAAGAGAUGUAUGAUCAUGUUGGUAUGCUUAGAAAGAAGUUCCACUGCAAAUUUGUCACAAUAGACAGGCUCAUUCUGUUCAGAACAACCCAGGUUAUGACGCCAUGUCAUCUUGUAACUGUACAUGAAACAAACCUUUCUAGUUCUUUCUUUAAUCUUGCAUGAUGAAUUGGCAUCAAAAGAAAAUAAAGCCUUUUUAAGUGAGCAGAAAUUGAUGAACAGUUAUCAUAGGACUGGAUCCUUGAGUAGGAUUUUUCCGCACCACUAACUUGGUUUCCAUCCAAGUGGCAACAGAUUUUCAUGCGAAUAAAUAAAAUAUAAAAUCUGCAUAAAGAAAAGAUGCCCAUUUUCCCACCAAACUGACUUGUUGCAAAUAAAAAUCAGUGUGUGACGUAGUGCACUCAAUGUGUUUUCGUGUACUGAAUAAAAAUCUCAAUGUGUUACCAUUGCAUUUUCAACUCUACUGAUAGUUUUGUUCAAACUGUUGAGUUAAAUAGCAAAUGUGCCUACUCUGGUCUUGACACGUGCUCUCUAGCCAACAGCAUGCAGAUACAGUGCAGGGUUAGUGCUUUUUGAGUUCUGGUUCAAUUAUAAAAUAAUCACGGAUUCUGGUUUCUGUAAAACAUAAAUAAUAGUUACAUUAAAAUGCACUUAUUAUGUGGGUUGAAUUAUGUAACAACACUGAAUAAAUGAAUUCAUAAAAGUUC